rnacentral:rRNA from 1 species
GAUCGAGAAAGUGGAGCAAUCCAUGAGUAAAGAGGCGCACGGGUGAGUAACACGUGGCUAACCUACCCUCGAGUGGGGAAUAACCUGGGGAAACCCGGGCUAAUACCGCAUAACACCUACGGGUCAAAGGAGCAAUUCGCUUGAGGAGGGGGUCGCGGCAGAUUAGUUAGUUGGCGGGGUAAUGGCCCACCAAGACGAUGAUCUGUAUCCGGCCUGAGAGGGCGCACGGACACACUGGAACUGAAACACGGUCCAGACUCCUACGGGAGGCAGCAGUGGGGAAUUUUGCGCAAUGGGGGAAACCCUGACGCAGCAACGCCGCGUGGAGGAUGAAGUCCCUUGGGACGUAAACUCCUUUCGACCGGGACGAUUAUGACGGUACCGGAUGAAGAAGCCCCGGCUAACUUCGUGCCAGCAGCCGCGGUAAUACGAGGGGGGCGAGCGUUGUUCGGAAUUAUUGGGCGUAAAGGGUGCGUAGGCGGUUCCGCAAGUCUUAUGUGAAAUCUUCGGGCUCAACUCGAAGCCUGCAUAGGAAACUACGGGGCUUGAGUGUGGGAGAGGUGAGUGGAAUUCCCGGUGUAGCGGUGUAAUGCGUAGAUAUCGGGAGGAACACCUGUGGCGAAAGCGGCUCACUGGACCAUAACUGACGCUGAUGCACGAAAGCUGGGGGA